rnacentral:lncRNA from 1 species
CCUCAUUACAACUCAUACUUCCAUAAUCCAAACACUAUUUAAUCAAUUUACGGGAUUUUCUCCUGUUCUUUCUCAAGAAUAAAUCAUUUUUUCAAGAGAGAUGCCCAACUAUCCUUUCAACAAGCUUUUUUCACAGGGUUGCUCGUGGUUAUAGUGUGGUUUCCCACAAACAGCACCAGUCUAUUAACCUCAUUUUUGGUUAAGGCCACGUAGACAACAGACGC